rnacentral:rRNA from 1 species
UGGGGAAUAUUGCACAAUGGGCGCAAGCCUGAUGCAGCCAUGCCGCGUGUGUGAAGAAGGCCUUCGGGUUGUAAAGCACUUUCAGCGGGGAGGAAGGCGGUGAGGUUAAUAACCUCAUCGAUUGACGUUACCCGCAGAAGAAGCACCGGCUAACUCCGUGCCAGCAGCCGCGGUAAUACGGAGGGUGCAAGCGUGAAUCGGAAUUACUGGGCGUAAAGCGCACGCAGGAGGUCUGUCAAGUCGGAUGUGAAAUCCCCGGGCUCAACCUGGGAACUGCAUUGGAAACUGGCAGGCUAGAGUCUUGUAGAGGGGGGUAGAAUUCCAGGUGUAGCGGUGAAAUGCGUAGAGAUCUGGAGGAAUACCGGUGGCGAAGGCGGCCCCCUGGAAAAAGAAUGACGCACAGGUGCGAAAGCGUGGGGAGCAAACAGG